rnacentral:lncRNA from 1 species
AUGCAUUGGCACAGGCUGCCCAGGGAGGUGGUGGCGUCACCAUCCCUGGAGCUGUUGAAGAACCGUGGAGAUGUGACAAGGAAUGAGCAGUAUUCCUGGACGCAAAAAGGGAGAAUAAUUGACUUUCAGGCUGUAUGUUACAAAUCCACUUUUGUGAUUUUAGUGGUGCCUGUGACAAGAAAGGAAAUGUGGGAAAGGGAGCUGGCUCCAGGAAGGAGUGCCUGGCUAUUUUUCCAGUCAAUAUCUAGUGUGCUGCACAGCAUCCAAGAGAAUUUGCAGAAUCAGAAUUUGGGCUGGAUAUGUGGGAUAUGGACAGAAGAGCAGCUUCAGAAUGACCCGUGUUACUGUGUCACGGAGAAGUGCUGGCUACCAUUGCAAAGUAUCUGCUCUCUUCCAGUACUAUGA